CGUGUGGUUUCUCUGGAUGGCCCGCGUGUCUUCAGUACCGGAAGAAUCCUCUAAGGACCUGGCCUGACUCAUCUGCGUCUGUGACAGGCAAGAAAUCGAAUACUUCCCUACCAUAUAGUAGGCGAAAAGUCCCCGGACGACCUAUACUUCCACCAUGAUUCUGAAGUGCAAUGGACACUUUACCCUCCCAUGAGGCCACUGGAGAUGAUUCAUGAAUGUAACUGAAGGGACGCAACUGACACUGG